rnacentral:rRNA from 1 species
UACGUAGGGGGCAAGCGUUAUCCGGAUUUACUGGGUGUAAAGGGAGUGUAGGCGGCUCAUCAAGUUAGAUGUGAAAUCCCGCGGCUUAACCGCGGAACUGCAUCUAAAACUGGUAAGCUGGAGUGCAGGAGAGGUGAGUGGAAUUCCAUGUGUAGCGGUGAAAUGCGUAGAGAUAUGGAGGAACACCAGUGGCGAAGGCGGCUUCCUGGUCUGCAACUGACACUGAGGCGCGAAAGCGUGGGGAGCAAACAGG